GUCGAACAGACCUAGAACUUUAAGCUUCUGCACUUAAAUCUAAUUUUAAUCCAACAUCGAGGUCGCAAACUUUUCCAUCGAUAAGAACUCUCCAGAAAAAUUACGCUGUUAUCCCUAAGGUAAUUUAAUCUAAAUAUCCAUAAAAUAGGAUCCUAAAAAUAAAAAUAAUUAAAUAUUAAAUUAUGAGAGUUUUUUUAAUCUCAAUAUCACCCCAAUAAAAUUAUAAACCAAUAUAAAUAAUAAAAAUAACCAUAAAUUAAAUAUAAAAUUUAUAAUAAAAUUCUAUAGGGUCUUCUCGUCCCACUUAAAAAUUUAAGCUUUUUAACUUAAAAAUUAAAUUCAACUUUUUAAUAUAAAGAAAGUAAUUCCCUCAUCCAACCAUUCAUACAAGCCUUUAAUUAAAAGACAAAUGAUUAUGCUACCUUCGCACAGUCAAGAUACUG
rnacentral:rRNA from 1 species